rnacentral:lncRNA from 1 species
AUGCUAUAACUUGUUAUAAUGCCUGCUUUGAAAAGACAUUACCAUAAUCAUUAUGAACGGUGUCAUAUCUGUACGUUACAUUUUAAUUGGACUUAAUACAUUUGCAUGAAAUUACUUUGCUGAAGUAACUUUAAUUAAAGCAUAUUUUCUAAUACUGUGUUUUAUAGCAUCUGUUGAGAGUGCUAUUUCUGUACAUGUAAUCUUACACUGGAGCUUACAAAUACUGAAUCUCAUGAAAGAAAGCAUGUACAGUAGAACAAAUCAAAAGGCGGAACCAUUCAAAAGAAAUACGUUUCAGGGGAACACGACGUCGGCGCACACAACGCAAAGGAUUUCAGAAUCGCUGUCACAGAGCGCUGUUCAUUGUUCCUGAAGAGCUCCCUCGUCUGCACAUGAAUGCAAGCACACAAUGAACUACUUUGCGGUCGUGACAUCUCUUGCUAAAAGUUGUCCAUGACAGCUCAACAGACAAGAUGAUGUCCGGCAGACUGCUGGCACUGCUUCAGACACAUGCAGUGAGGAGAAGUCUUCAACACAUCUUGGUGAACUCUCACUUUAAACUGAUUUGAUAUAGAACUCAAGUGGAAGACGUGAGAGGCUUGCUUGACUUGUCAGUUUAUUAUCAUUGAAACUUCAUUUAGUGCCAUUAAAAAUAGUGUAUACGCAUAUCAUUAUACAGGUGUAUAAUUCAAGCAGAAUACUGAAUCAGUUAAUGUAUAACAAUAAUGUAUAAUUUGAACUACACUCUUACAAAUAAAGAUUCCAAAAAGGUUUUUUUGCAACAAUGCCAUAAAAAACUAUUUUGGGAUCCCCAAAGAACCUCUCAGUGAACAGUUCUUAAAAGGAUAGUUCAAUCCAAAAUUAACCUUUACUUACUCUCUUAUCAUUCCAAACCCAUAUGAGUUUCUUUCUUAUGUUGAACAUAGAAGAUACUUAAGACUGCUGGUAAUGUAACAGUUGUUGUGGGUGAACUAUUCCUCUAAAAGUACAAUUUUAAUAAUACAUAGAAACUAAUUCUACUCUAAAGAUUCUCUUGUGCCACGAAAAGUAAGUUUCCAUGAAGUUAAAGGUUCUUGAUGGAACCAUCGAUGCCAAUGAAGAACCUUUAUUUUUAAAGUAGUUGCAGUUUGUAGAAGAAUAAAGUUGGUACGAGUGUUCUUAAAGGUUACUUGAUGGAACCAUCGAUGCCAAUGAAGAACCUUAUUUUUUAAAGAGUGCAGUUUGUAGAAAGAAUAAAGUUGGUACGAGUGUUCAAGGAUGUGGCUUGUUGAGGUUUUGUCAGUUUAAUCAAGCUGAAUCUUGAAAAGCUAGGUCAAAUGAUUGCUCCAGCUAGACUGUUUAGCGAGGUUCAGGAAAGAAUAAUAGACCACCUGGAUUUGAUC